AUGCGGAUACGCCGCAACCAACGUUUGGCCGAUUAGGCAUGCUGAUAAACGUCAGUUAAUAACUGACAGAUAUGGAAGCGAGUGAAAAGGACAUACGUAAACAGCUACAGCAUAAAAACAUAAACAAAGAUAAGAUUAGUGAGUAAGAAGUGAAACAGAGGAAAAUAGAAAUUAGAAAUCUUUUCAGUAGUAGGAAAGUUUAAUUAAAUAUCGAUCGAGUUGCGUAGAAGUUGAUCAUAAGAUCACAAAAAACAUACACUGAUUGAAUGGACAGAGGACAGUGCAGUGGUGCUCAACCUAUUAUGAAUCGCCCACCAAUCAGUUAGACGACAAUUUAAUACACAACAUAAAACAAGUCGGAAAAUCAGAAACAUUGAGAAGGACUAGAAGGAAGGAAGUGUAUUAGAAGGGACAUCAAACUAAAAAUUUUUGAUCAUCCUGUGCGAGGAUCGAUUCCAAAAACGGUUUGUUAUUCCAAAUCCGACCGUCCGAACAA